rnacentral:rRNA from 1 species
GAUGAACGCUAGCUACAGGCUUAACACAUGCAAGUCGAGGGGCAGCAUUAUCGAAGCUUGCUUUGAUAGAUGGCGACCGGCGCACGGGUGAGUAACGCGUAUCCAACCUUCCCCAUAGUCAGGAAUAGCCCGGCGAAAGUCGAAUUAAUGCCUGAUGUUUUCCACGGACGGCAUCUGAUGUGGAACAAAGAUUGAUCGCUAUGGGAUGGGGAUGCGUCUGAUUAGCUUGUUGGCGGGGUAACGGCCCACCAAGGCAACGAUCAGUAGGGGUUCUGAGAGGAAGGUCCCCCACAUUGGAACUGAGACACGGUCCAAAACUCCUACGGGAGGCAGCAGUGAGGAAUAUUGGUCAAUGGGCGAAGCCUGAACCAGCCAAGUAGCGUGAAGGACGACUGCCCUAUGGGUUGUAAACUUCUUUUAUGCGGGGAUAAAGUUCGCCACGUGUGGCGUUUUGCAGGGUACCGCAUGAAUAAGGACCGGCUAAUUCCGUGCCAGCA